rnacentral:lncRNA from 1 species
CUCGCUACCUGGCUUUGCUUCCCCCUCUUCUUCUUUCCCUAUCCUUCCCUUUGUACUUCGACACCUCCACAACCUCACAGUCAUGUGAUGCCACUCUUCCUCUUCACUCAUGUUUUCCCUCUCUUCAAUUUGUUGCAAUCGCCAUCAUCUAUGGGACUGAGAGAAAUUUGCAAAUCUGGACUUUCAAAAGUGUUUCGAAGUCGUUUUCAUGGAGGAAGAUGAGACCCACAACGACAGUGUCAUUCCUUGAGGUUGCAGAUGGC